rnacentral:rRNA from 1 species
CCCCUAGAUGUUCUGGGCCGCACGCGCGCUACACUGAACAGUUCAACAAGUCUUAACCUUGGCCGAUAGGUCUGGGUAAUCUUUGAACGCUGUUCGUGAUUGGUAUAGACCUUUGCAAUUAUGGGUCUUCAACGAGGAAUUCCUAGUAAACGCAAGUCAUCAGCUUGCAUUGAUUACGUCCCUGCCCUUUGUACACACCGCCCGUCGCACCUACCGAUUGAAUGGUCCGGUGAAAUCUCGGGACGGCGGCUUGGUCGCUUGCGUCCGACUGCUGAAACUUGAUUAAACCAUAUCAUUUAGAGGAAGGUGAAGUCGUAACA